UUAAUUGAAGAGUUUGAUCAUGGCUCAGAUUGAACGCUGGCGGCAGGCCUAACACAUGCAAGUCGAGCGGCAGCACAGAGGAACUUGUUCCUUGGGUGGCGAGCGGCGGACGGGUGAGUAAUGCCUGGGAAAUUGCCCGGUAGAGGGGGAUAACCAUUGGAAACGAUGGCUAAUACCGCAUAACCUCGCAAGAGCAAAGCAGGGGACCUUCGGGCCUUGCGCUACCGGAUAUGCCCAGGUGGGAUUAGCUAGUUGGUGAGGUAAGGGCUCACCAAGGCGACGAUCCCUAGCUGGUCUGAGAGGAUGAUCAGCCACACUGGAACUGAGACACGGUCCAGACUCCUACGGGAGGCAGCAGUGGGGAAUAUUGCACAAUGGGCGCAAGCCUGAUGCAGCCAUGCCGCGUGUAUGAAGAAGGCCUUCGGGUUGUAAAGUACUUUCA
rnacentral:rRNA from 1 species